UGCCAGCCGCAGCGGUAAUACGUAGGUGGCAAGCGUUGUCCGGAUGUAUUGGGCGUAAAGCGAGCGCAGGCGGUCUUUUAAGUCUGAUUUGAAAGCCCACGGCUUAACCGUGGAGGGUCAUUGGAAACUGGGAGACUUGAGUGCAGAAGAGGAAAGUGGAACUCCAUGUGUAGCGGUGGAAUGCGUAGAUAUAUGGAAGAACACCAGUGGCGAAGGCGGCUUUAUGGUCUGUAACUGACGCUGAGUCUCGCAAGCGUUGGGCGCAAACAGUAUUAGAUA
rnacentral:rRNA from 1 species